AUCAAUGCAAUGAUAGGGAGAGUAGCUUUUAUCGAGCCUUUUAGCGAGCUUCUACCGGUGAAAAGGGAGCAGGUGUCGAUAAAAAGUGAAGGUAGCCCUUGAGCGGUGAAUGCGACAUUCGACGAAUGAAGUUUUCAACGGCAGCACCCGUUAACAUGCCAGCGUCUUGCCGAAUAGCGGCAGUACGUGGUGAGGCGGCAGCCAGUGAUGGCGGCCGUAAAUAAAGGUGGUAACGCGUAACCAACGUCCUUUAA
rnacentral:ncRNA from 1 species